AGCAGUCGCCAGCGGUAAUACGGAGGGUGCAAGCGUUAUCCGGAUUUAUUGGGUUUAAAGGGUCCGUAGGCGGAUCUGUAAGUCAGUGGUGAAAUCUCACAGCUUAACUGUGAAACUGCCAUUGAUACUGCAGGUCUUGAGUAAAUUUGAAGUGGCUGGAAUAAGUAGUGUAGCGGUGAAAUGCAUAGAUAUUACUUAGAACACCAAUUGCGAAGGCAGGUCACUAAGAUUUAACUGACGCUGAUGGACGAAAGCGUGGGGAGCGAACAGGAUUAGAUACCCCUGUAGUCCCUGUCUCUUAUA
rnacentral:rRNA from 1 species